AAGUCGUAACAAGGUUUCCGUAGGUGAACCUGCGGAAGGAUCAUUAACACGUAUCCACGUAUCAACCAACUGCGAACCUGUUUUCACCUCUCCCUGCCGGUUACAUGAAUUGGAAUUGAGGGUGCAUUUUUAUGAUGGGGCUUGCCCAAAUGCGCUCACUACCACCUGUCGCAGCAAUGCGACUGACAAUUGGAGUAACUGUCAGGCCAACCUUCUGCUAUCGCCUCGUACCGUCAUUUCGAGCGAUAGUGGGAACACACAUACUCACCUAUUUCACCCCCUUUUUGCUAGUUGACUUUUAUAUGUUGUCUCAGUGCGGUACGCUCGUAUUCGCUGGAACACACGUUUAUUAUUGAACGUUAAAAUUACAACUCUUAGCAAUGGAUAUCUUGGUUCUC
rnacentral:misc_RNA from 1 species